UGGGGAAUUUUGGACAAUGGGCGAAAGCCUGAUCCAGCAAUGCCGCGUGUGUGAAGAAGGCCUUCGGGUUGUAAAGCACUUUUGUCCGGAAAGAAAUCCUUGGCUCUAAUACAGUCGGGGGAUGACGGUACCGGAAGAAUAAGCACCGGCUAACUACGUGCCAGCAGCCGCGGUAAUACGUAGGGUGCAAGCGUUAAUCGGAAUUACUGGGCGUAAAGCGUGCGCAGGCGGUUUGCUAAGACCGAUGUGAAAUCCCCGGGCUCAACCUGGGAACUGCAUUGGUGACUGGCAGGCUAGAGUAUGGCAGAGGGGGGUAGAAUUCCACGUGUAGCAGUGAAAUGCGUAGAGAUGUGGAGGAAUACCGAUGGCGAAGGCAGCCCCCUGGGCCAAUACUGACGCUCAUGCACGAAAGCGUGGGGAGCAAACAGGAUUAGAUACCCUGGUAGUCCACGCCCUAAACGAUGUUAACUAGUUGUUGGGGAUUCAUUUCCUUAGUAACGUAGCUAACGCGUGAAGUUGACCGCCUGGGGAGUACGGUCGCAAGAUUAAAACUCAAAGGAAUUGACGGGGUCAUAGCUGUUUCCU
rnacentral:rRNA from 1 species